CCUACGGGAGGCAGCAGUGAGGAAUAUUGGUCAAUGGGCGAGAGCCUGAACCAGCCAAGUCGCGUGAGGGAGUACUGCCCUAUGGGUUGUAAACCUCUUUUGUCGGGGAGCAAAAGCCGGACGUGUCCGGCUGUGAGAGUACCCGAAGAAAAAGCAUCGGCUAACUCCGUGCCAGCAGCCGCGGUAAUACGGAGGAUGCGAGCGUUAUCCGGAUUUAUUGGGUUUAAAGGGUGCGCAGGCGGAUUUUUAAGUCAGCGGUAAAAUCGUGGGGCUCAACCCCAUCCAGCCGUUGACACUGGGGAUCUAGAGUGUGCGAGAGGUAUGCGGAAUGCGUGGUGUAGCGGUGAAAUGCAUAGAUAUCACGCAGAACCCCGAUUGCGAAGGCAGCAUACCGGUGCACAACUGACGCUCAGGCACGAAAGCGUGGGUAUCGAACAGGAUUAGAUACCCGAGUAGUC
rnacentral:rRNA from 1 species